UACGGGGGGAGCAAGCGUUGUUCGGAUUUACUGGGCGUAAAGGGCGCGUAGGCGGCCACCGCAAGUCGGUUGUGAAAUCUCUGGGCUUAACCCAGAAAGGUCAACCGAUGCUGCGGGGCUAGAGUGCAGAAGGGGCAACUGGAAUUCUCGGUGUAGCGGUGAAAUGCGUAGAUAUCGAGAGGAACACCUGCGGCGAAGGCGGGUUGCUGGGCUGACACUGACGCUGAAGCGCGAAAGCUAGGGGAGCGAACGGG
rnacentral:rRNA from 1 species